rnacentral:sRNA from 1 species
CAACUCCAUGUUGUACAUGGAUCUGAAUCUUCAAAGCAAAUUACAGAACAGAAGUGAUGUAGCAACACUGCCAUUGACGCACAUGGGGUGUAUUUUCAGGGUACAGUGAGAGGCUGUUAAACUCAGGUGCUUCAUGGAGACGGAAGUCGUGAACUCGUCUGGACUUUUACAAGGAUGAAUAGACCCACCCUCUCACCAGCAUGACCUUCAGUUACCAGGAUAAUGCAAGAAGACUGUGGAAGGAUCGAUAGCAGGGAAGCAGAAUGGGACCUUAAGGUAAUUUUCAGGGAUGUUAUAAGAUGAUAGUAAACCCAGGCAGAUAUGUAUAUCUGUGAUCAGAGGCCUCUGGAACAACAUCUCCAGCCCUGCCCUUUGAAGUGGAAAGUAUUGUCCCCUCAUCAGCCAGAGCAUCUGUCUAUGAAA